CACGUAGGGUGCGAGCGUUGUCCGGAAUUAUUGGGCGUAAAGAGCUCGUAGGCGGUGUGUCGCGUCGGCCGUGAAAACCUGCAGCUUAACUGUGGGCUUGCGGUCGAUACGGGCAUCACUGGAGUUCGGCAGGGGAGACUGGAAUUCCUGGUGUAGCGGUGAAAUGCGCAGAUAUCAGGAGGGACACCGGUGGCGAAGGCGG
rnacentral:rRNA from 1 species